AUUGAACGCUGGCGGCAGGCCUAACACAUGCAAGUCGAACGAGUGGCGGACGGGUGAGUAAUGUCUGGGAAACUGCCCGAUGGAGGGGGAUAACUACUGGAAAAGGUAGCUAAUACCGCAUACCAUCGGAUGUGCCCAGAUGGGAUUAGCUUGUAGGUGAGGUAACGGCUCACCUAGGCGACGAUCCCUAGCUGGUCUGAGAGGAUGACCAGCCACACUGGAACUGAGACACGGUCCAGUAGCCUACGGGAGGCAGCAGUGGGGAAUAGUGCACAGUGGGCGAAAGCAUGAUACAGCCAUGCCGCGGGUAUGAAGAAGGCCUUCUGGUUGUAAAGUACUUUCAGCGGUGAGGCGGUAUCCGCAGAAGAAGCACCGGCUAACUCUGUGCCAGCAGCCGCGGUAAUAC
rnacentral:rRNA from 1 species